GGGCACAUAGCUCAGCUGGUUAGAGCGUUCGGUUCACAUCCGAGAGGUCCGGGGUUCGAGUCCCUGUGUGCCCACCA
rnacentral:tRNA from 1 species